rnacentral:rRNA from 1 species
AUUACCGAGUUUACAACUCCCAAACCCAUGUGAACAUACCUACUGUUGCUUCGGCGGGAUUGCCCCGGGCGCCUCGUGUGCCCCGGAUCAGGCGCCCGCCUAGGAAACUUAACUCUUGUUUUAUUUUGGAAUCUUCUGAGUAGUUUUUACAAAUAAAUAAAAACUUUCAACAACGGAUCUCUUGGUUCUGGCAUCGAUGAAGAACGCAGCGAAAUGCGAUAAGUAAUGUGAAUUGCAGAAUUCAGUGAAUCAUCGAAUCUUUGAACGCACAUUGCGCCCGCCAGUAUUCUGGCGGGCAUGCCUGUCUGAGCGUCAUUUCAACCCUCAUGCCCCUAGGGCGUGGUGUUGGGGAUCGGCCAAAGCCCGCGAGGGACGGCCGGCCCCUAAAUCUAGUGGCGGACCCGUCGUGGCCUCCCCUGCGAAGUAGUGAUAUUCCGCAUCGGAGAGCGACGAGCCCCUGCCGUUAAACCCCCAACUUUCCAAGGUUGACCUCAGAUCAGGUAGGAAUACCCGCUGA